rnacentral:tRNA from 1 species
GCUUUUAGAAGUUUUUAGAAUCUGAUAUUGAAGCUAUCAAGGAGUAAAUUAUAAGUAUUUCUCU